rnacentral:pre_miRNA from 1 species
CAGAAAUAGGGGUUCCUUGCAGCCCAAAGAAAGCACAAUAUGUCAAUAUGGGUAUUUUCAUACAUAAUAUAAUGCUAUGAUAUGAUAUAAACAUGUUUGUGUGGCUUUGGACUGAAGGGAGCUCCUAAUUCUU